rnacentral:lncRNA from 1 species
GUCAUAGGAUCAUCAUGGGGAUGGUGAUUGAUCUGGAUAGAUCAGUGCAUGGAUCGCUUUCUUCGGAUAAAUGGAUCUUGAGUCUGCAGUGUAGAGAUACUAGAGUAAAAAUACAGGUGGUUGUUAGACAACAACUAGCACUGAGCGUGACCAACACGAGAAGUCACAUGGAUAUCUGCUCACUUGUUAGUGACUUUCUCGAUGCUGUAGUUGUAUGACUGGUCCUUUGACCUGAG